rnacentral:rRNA from 1 species
AGGCAUCUUCUUAUUUUUAAAAGACCUAGCAAUAGGUAUGCUUAAGGAGGGGCUUGCGUCACAUUAGUUAGUUGGUAGGGUAAAAGCCUACCAAGACAAUGAUGUGUAGCCGGGCUGAGAGGUUGAACGGCCACAUUGGAACUGAGACACGGUCCAAACUCCUACGGGAGGCAGCAGUAGGGAAUUUUCGGCAAUGGAGGAAACUCUGACCGAGCAACGCCGCGUGAACGAUGAAGUAUUUCGGUACGUAAAGUUCUUUUAUUAAGGAAGAAAAGAUGGUGGAAAAACCAUUAUGACGGUACUUAAUGAAUAAGCCCCGGCUAACUAUGUGCCAGCAGCCGCGGUAAUACAUAGGGGGCGAGCGUUAUCCGGAAUUAUUGGGCGUAAAGGGUGCGUAGGCGGUUUAAUAAGUUUAUGGUCUAAGUGCAAUGCUUAACAUUGUGAUGCUAUAAAAACUGUUUGACUAGAGUUGGAUAGAGGCAAGUGGAAUUCCAUGUGUAGUGGUAAAAUGCGUAAAUAUAUGGAGGAACACCAUGAGCGAAGGCGGCUUGCUGGGUCUUAACUGACGCUGAGGCACGAAAGCGUGGGGAGCAAACAGGAUUAGAUACCCUGGUAGUCCACGCCGUAAACGAUGAGUACUAGACGUUGGGUUAAACCAGUGUCGAAGUUAACACAUUAAGUACUCCGCCUGAGUAGUACGUACGCAAGUAUGAAACUUAAAGGAAUUGACGGGACUCCGCACAAGCGGUGGAUCAUGUUGUUUAAUUCGAAGGUACCCGAAAAACCUCACCAGGUCUUGACAUGUUUCUGCAAAGCUGUAGAAAUACAGCGGAGGUUAUCAGUUGCACAGGUGGUGCAUGGUUGUCGUCAGCUCGUGUCGUGAGAUGUUGGGUUAAGUCCCGCAACGAGCGCAACCCUUGUUGUUAAUUGCCAUCAUUAAGUUGGGGACUUUAGCAAGACUGCCAGUGAUAAAUUGGAGGAAGGUGGGGACGACGUCAAAUCAUCAUGCCCCUUAUGACCUGGGCUACAAACGUGAUACAAUGGCUGUUACAAAGGGUAGCUGAAGCGCAAGCUUUUGGCAAAUCUCAAAAAAACAGUCUCAGUUCGGAUUGAAGUCUGCAACUCGACUUCAUGAAGUUGGAAUCGCUAGUAAUCGCGAAUCAGCANCNNNGCGGUGAAUACGUUCUCGGGGUUUGUACACACCGCCCGUCAA